UCAGAGUUUGAUCCUGGCUCAGAUUGAACGCUGGCGGCAGGCUUAACACAUGCAAGUCGAGCGGAAACGAUUCUAGCUUGCUAGAAGGCGUCGAGCGGCGGACGGGUGAGUAAUGCAUGGGAAUCUGCCCGAUAGUGGGGGACAACCUGGGGAAACUCAGGCUAAUACCGCAUACGUCCUACGGGAGAAAGCAGGGGAUCUUCGGACCUUGCGCUAUCGGAUGAGCCCAUGUCGGAUUAGCUUGUUGGUGAGGUAACGGCUCACCAAGGCGACGAUCCGUAGCUGGUCUGAGAGGAUGAUCAGCCACACUGGGACUGAGACACGGCCCAGACUCCUACGGGAGGCAGCAGUGGGGAAUAUUGGACAAUGGGCGAAAGCCUGAUCCAGCCAUGCCGCGUGUGUGAAGAAGGCCUUCGGGUUGUAAAGCACUUUCAGCGAGGAAGAACGCUUCGGGAUUAAUACUCCCGAGGAAAGACAUCACUCGCAGAAGAAGCACCGGCUAACUCCGUGCCAGCAGCCGCGGUAAUAC
rnacentral:rRNA from 1 species